ACCUCAGUUGUGUCGUGCUUUGUUAUCCUCUCGCCUCCCUGAUGUUGUGGUGGUCUGGUGGUGGUCCUGCUGCUUUCUAGGUUGGCCAUGGCCUCCCGCAUCUCAGUGUUGUCGUAUGCCCGGUUUGCCCCUUCUCCUUCGUCUACCUCGACUACAGUAUAUACCGCUGGUGUCGCUGUUUCAGGAGGUCGCCGCCAGUCACCCUACGUACUUGGAUACAGCUGCUGCGCACCACCUCUUGAGGAGGAUACGACCGCCCCUGCCCGGGCAUUGCGUGUGCCGCGCCCGGGUCGCGCGGCCUCUGCAUCGCUUGCCGUGCGGGACGGACAGCUGCUGCUCGCCGUGUCGCCUUCUUUGAUUAUGGUUGGUGGUUGUGCUUCUGUUCAUUGCCGUCGCUGCCGCACAUCUGGCCAGGUCUCCCUCUGAGUGGAGAUCCUCUUGGUUGCUAUCGGCGGGUUCAGGUUGCUGCCGGUGGGUCGCCUCCUCCGCAUUCAUUCUGACAUAAUGGCCUUCAAGAUGUCAUUGCUGUGCAAAUGCUUGAUGUGGGUGGCCCGGUGGUGCGUGUGCAAGGUGUGGUAGGCUUCAGUUUUUGGGAGGGGUUGUGCUUGGUCGGCAUGCCAUUGCUCCUGUUGCAUCUAUGAUCGGCGCACGGGUCGUGUUCACGGGAUUUUGCUAUUGCUGCUGUGAUUGGUUUUGCGGAUUACUCAGAUGUACCUUCCUUCUGUUGGUGGAUACAAUUACUAGAUUGCAUAUGUUCGGUUUGUAAGCUGACAAGAUAUUUACUUUCAGAUUUUUUUGACAGUAUGGACACAUCAGCGUAUAUGCUCUUACGCCAAUUUCUAUCUUCAUUGAACUGCAUUAUUAAGAAUGGAGAAGCUACAUCAUCCAGUGCGUAGCAGCCUGCCAAUGGCUUCCCCGAAUUAAUGGCUUCCUCUACACAUAUCAAAACAUUCAGUGUUAUGAAUCCUUGCGUUCCAGCUGGUCAGGGCAUAUAUGUAUGAAGGUGUACAUCGUUUGGAGAAGCUACAUCAUCGAAAAUGCGUAUCAGCCUGCCAAUGGCUUCCCCGAAUUAGUGGCUUCCUCUACAUAUAACGGCACAUUCAGUGUUAUGAAUCCUUGUAUCCCAGCUGGUAAGAGCAUAUAUAGGUAUGAAGGUGUACGUCGACAUUGCUAUACGACCAGGACGCCCACAGCACUGGCCUCUGUGCCACCUGCCGCCGUUGUCGUCAGCGCGGUCCAAGGCAAGGCUCCGUUAGUGGAGGAUGAUGUCCCGGCAGUGGGGGCACUGGUGUGGCUGCGCUGCCCAAACGGGUCAUGUGGGCAGCUGCCCCGCGCCGCCCAGGUCAUCCAAGGCCGCCAUCCUACUCCUCGACCGCGGCGAUGAACCAACUUUCAUGAUCUGCUUGAUACAAACAAGGUUAGCGGACUGAGUGUAUUAUGUUUUAGUGGUCAUGUGG